rnacentral:lncRNA from 10 species
GGCUGUACCAUUUGGCACUCCCAUCAGCAAUGAAUGAGAGUUCCUGUUGGAUUUUGGACAUUCUAACAGAUGAACUGGGGGCUCACAUAGGAAAUGACUAGCCUAAGAUGGCAGAGCAAGAACUGGAUCCUGGAUUGGAAUGCAUUGAGCAUGUGGCUCUAUCCUGAGGGUGGAGGUAAGAGGUCUAGGGGGCCGGGAGAACUUGACAAUGGAUUUAGUCCACCUGGAAUCAGGCUCAAUCUUCAGAUGCCUCAGCCCUCCCCGAGCCCUGACCACAAGCCAAAUGGCGCUGGACCACAGUAUCAGGGUUCUCCAGCGACUCCAUCCUCCAGGGAGGAAGAGGUGGUGAAUUUCCGAGCUGGGACAGAACCCAGAGUGGCUGGAGCAGGCCAGCACCUCGCCUCAUAUACUUGGAGCCUGGAGACAUCAGGCAGCAAAUGAGAAGCAUUUUAAGGUUCUCUGACUAUUUUCUUUUUUAAUUAAUUAAUUAGUUCAUUAAUUUUUUAAUUUAAAAAUUUUUCUUACCUCUGGUUCAAGUUCUCAUGACCGAUUCCUUAAGGUUGCAACACAUGAACAUGCCUUUCCUCCAAGAAAAUUUAGAGAAUUCAGAUUAGUAAAAAGAAGAAAAUAAAAGUCUUCCAUAAACUUAUAAUCUGAGGAUAAUGUCUUUUAAUGCUUUUUCCUUCCUGUCUUUUUUCUAUGAGCAGAUAUACAUACAGGCUUUAAAAAUAUACCUUGAAAAUAGAAGCAUUCUCUAUGUGAAGUGCUUAGCAUAUUACCUAGCACAUAGUGAGUACUCAGUAAACCUUUACUGUUACUAUUAUUAUUUCUAUUUUAUAGCCUGAUUUUUCUCUCUUAAAUGGAAUUUCAGCUCCAUGAGAAUUAGAACCUUGUAAGCCUCAUUAACCUCUGUUAGUCUAGCGCUUAGCACAUAAUAGGUGCUCAAUAAACAUUUUUAAAUAGAUGAAAGAAUAAACAUUUUUCUUUCUCAUUAGAU